GGAGAGGUGCCAGAGUGGUUGAUUGGGGCCGCCUGCUAAGCGGUUGUACCUGUUAUAGGGUACCGCAGGUUCGAAUCCUGUCCUCUCCG
rnacentral:tRNA from 1 species